GACGAACGCUGGCGGCGUGCUUAACACAUGCAAGUCGAGCGGAAAGGCCUUUCGGGGUACUCGAGCGGCGAACGGGUGAGUAACACGUGAGUAACCUGCCCCAGACUUUGGGAUAACCCUCGGAAACGGGGGCGUAAUACCGGAUACGACACUUCAUCGCAUGGUGUGAGUGUGGAAAGUUUUUCGGUUUGGGAGUGGCGUCGCGGCCUAUCAGCUUGUUGGUGGGGUGAUGGCCUACCAAGGCGACGACGGGUAGGCCGGCCUGAGAGGGCGACCGGCCACACUGGGACUGAGACACGGCCCAGACUCCUACGGGAGGCAGCAGUGGGGAAUAUUGCACAAUGGGCGGAAGCCUGAUGCAGCGACGCCGCGUGAGGGAUGACGGCCUUCGGUUGUUAACCU
rnacentral:rRNA from 1 species